GUUCUUCCGGGCGCCCGGUGGCUGCCUUGGCCCUCGCCGCCGCUGCCGGCCGUUCCUCCCGCCGCUCUGCUUUGGGGCGCUGUCCGUCCGCUUUGCUCCCGCGCUUUCCGCCUGGGGCCCCCCGCCUGCGUUCUGUCCUGUUCUCGCUCUGUGCCUCCCUCGCCUCUCCGCCGGCCCCCCCGGCGCCCUGCCCCCUCUUCGUCCCCGGCGGCCGCGCCCGCCCCUUCGCUUCCCUUCGUCGCGGCGCGCGCCCCGGGCCGCGCCCCCCCCCCCCGCUUGCUUGUUGGGGUUGUCGGCCCCUCUCUCCGGCGUUCCCCCGGCCGCCCUUCGCCGCCUCCUCUGGCCCGCUGCCUCCCCGCCGGUCCUCCUCCUGUCGUCGCCCUGUUGUCUCUCUUGCGUGGCUCCUGCGUCCGCCGGCGCCCGUGCCCUUCCGUCGGCCUCUGGGCGGCCCCUCUCCUCCGGCUCCCUCCUCUCUCGUGCCCGCUCGUGCCCCCGUCCCGUGCGGGCCCGGUGCCCCGCCCCCCGGCCGGGGCGUGCCCUCGCCCCUGCCCCCGUGUGCUUCCCCGUCGUCCGCGCCCGUUCCUGGGUGCUGGCGUGCCUUUUGUCGCCUGCCCCGGCGCGUUCCGCUUUGCUGCCCGGUUCCGCCGUCCCUGUGGCGCCGUCGCGCCCGCGCGUCUGCCUCGGGCGUUUCGUCUUUGGUCGUCGCCCCGCCCCCGGUGCUCUCCCCUUGGUCCGGUUGCCGUUCCGGUCCCCCUGCCUGGCGGCCCGCCCCGCCUUCCGUUGCCCCGUGCGCGGCUGCCCUGCGGGUCGCGGCGCCCUUCCCUCGCCCCUGGCGCUCGCUGGUUCUCUCCGCCCUCGCUUUCGGGCUCGCCUCCCGUGCUGCUUCUUGGCGGUCGCGCCCUGUUUGGCCGCGGGGCCCCUCUCGGGUUCCCGCCUUCCGCCCCCCUCCGCCUGCCCCUUCCUUUCCCUUGGGCGUCCGCCCCUGGGUGCUCCGGUCCGUGUUCGCCCGGGCCCCCGCCCCGCCCCCCCGCUCCGGUCCCCCCCUCUCUGUUCCGUGGCCCCGGCUGUGGCGUUGCCCCGCCCCCUCGGCUGUUGGCUUCGCCGCCGCCCUCCUUUCCCGCGUGCGUCCUCGCUCCCUCGUCGCGUGCCCCUGCGCCGCCCCUGUCCCGGGGCUCCCCCUCUUCCCGCCGCUGUGGCUUGUCCUUUGGCCCCUGGUCGGCGCGCGUUCUCCGGGCGUUGCCGCCUGCUCGUCCGGCCCUGUGGCGCGCUUCGCCGUGCGCCUGCCGGUGUGCGUCGCGCCCGCCGGGUGCGCCUCCCGUCCCCCGCUUGCCUCCGGUUUCCCGCGGCCGGCUCGUCCGCUCUGGGUUCGUCGGGUCCUCCGCUGCGGCCGCCCGGCGUCGGCGCUGGCUCCCCGGUUGCUCUUCCUGUCCCCCCUCUCCUCGUUUUCCUCGCUGGGGGCCGCCGUCGGCUCGGCGCCGCGUGCGCUUGGCUUGCCCGUCUCCGCCGUCCGGCUGCGUCUUCGGCCCCUCCGGUCCUCGUUCCGGCUGCGCUGUGCUGGGGCGCCGCCCUUGUGUCUUCGCGUCGUUGCUUUCCCCCUGCCGCGCCCCGCCUCUCGCUCGCCCCUCGGUGCCCGUCCCGCCCCCCGCCCCCGGUCGUCCCGCUGCGCCUUCUCCGGUGCGCGCGCGCCCUCUCGUUCCGGCCCUCGGCCCCCUGCCCCCGUCCCUUCGGGCGCCGGGGUGCUCUUUCGGGUUCCCGCCCCGCCGCGCCGCCGUGCCUCGGCCCCGCGCCUGUUUCUCCCCCCCCCGGUCUCUGCUCCCCCGUCCGGUGCUGUCUCGGGGCUGCCGCCUGCCCGGUGCUGGCCGGUUCCGCGGCGUGGUUCGCUUCUGCGCCGCUCCGCCUCGCCGCCCCCGUCCCCGGCGGCCGUCCCUCUCCCGGUCCUCCGGUCGCGCCCUUCCUUGUCGGGUCCGUUCCGCCCCGCCCGCCCGGCGUCCCGCUUUGGGCCCUGUCUCCCCGCGCGCCUCGGUGCCCUCCUCGUCCCUGUGCCGCUGCCGGUUCCCCGCGCCCGGCCGGCCCGCCCCCGUGGCGCUUUCCUGUCGCCUGCUCUUGCCCUUCGGCCCCGCUUGUCCCGGCUCGGUCGGCGCCUUUGCCCCGUGCGCGCUCGCUUCCGUGGCGGCGCUGGUGGGCUCCUCCCCUCGCUGUGUUGGCUUUCUCCCCGCCCCCCUUCUCGUGGUGGGCGCCCGUGUCCGGCGGGCCGUUUGCCUGGGGCGGUCGCCUCCUCCCCGGUCCCGGCGGCGCUCCCCGGUUCCCUCCGCCUGGUUGGCCCUCCUUCCUCGCGUGUCCCGGCCUCCGGGCGCUUGCCUGCGCGCCCUCCCCGUCGCGCCGGGUCGCCCGCCGGCCUUCGUGCUCCGGUGGUUCCGCCUGGCCGGGCCCUCGCUCCCCGGCUCCCCGCUCCCCCGGGGCUCCCCGGCUUCUCUCCCCCCCGCGUUCCCCUCGCCGGGGCGGUUUGGCCCCUCGCUGUCGGCUCCUCGCCUCCUGGGGCUGUCGUCGGUCCCCCGGGUUGGGCUGUUCGCCCCUUCCCGCGGUCCGCGCGCUGGGUUCCGCCCGUCGUGCGCCCGUUCGGUCCCUCUCCGUCGUGGGCGUCGGCCCUUUGCGCGGCGCUGUCCUUCGUCCGCGCGGCCCGGGCUGGCCCUCCCUCUGGUGUCCCCGUUGUCGUGCCCCCGGCCUCGCUGGGUCGCUCUGUGUGGCCGGGCUCCGUGCUGCCCGCCUCUCCGCCUGCCGCCCCCUCCCGCUGCGCUUUCCCCCCUUCGGUUCUCCGCUCCCUCCCCGCUGCUGCGGUUCCUCGGUUCGCGGUGGCCGCCUGGUGCCCUGUGGCGCUGCCG
rnacentral:rRNA from 1 species